GGCCUAUUGAAUAUAAUUUUAGGUCUGGCCUGCCCACUGAAAUUUAAAGGGCCGCGGUAUUUUGACCGUGCUAAGGUAGCAUAAUCAUUAGUUUCUUAAUUAGAAGCUGGAAUGAAAGGUUGGAUAAGAAAAUUACUGUCUCUAUUAAAAUUAAUAUGAAUUUUAUAUUUAAGUUAAAAAGCUUAAAUUUGAUUAAAAGACGAGAAGACCCUAUAGAGUUUUAUUUAUAAUAAAUAGUUUAAGUUUUUAGAAUUUUAAUUUUAAAAUUUAUUAUAAAUUUGGUUGGGGUGAUUGAAAAAUUUAAUAAACUUUUUUUAAAAUUUAAACAUUAAUUAAUGAAAAUUUGAUCCAUUAUUUAUGAUUAAAAGAAAAAAUUACCUUAGGGAUAACAGCGUAAUUUUAUUGGAAAGUUCAAAUUGAUAAUAAAGUUUGCGACCUCGAUGUUGGAUUAAAAUUAAUUUUUGGUGUAGAAGCUAAGAAUUUUAGGUCUGUUCGACCUUUAAAAUUUUACAUGA
rnacentral:rRNA from 1 species